rnacentral:tRNA from 1 species
AUUUAAGUAGUUUAAAAAAAAAUAUUAAUUUGUGGAAUUAAUGAUAUAUAAUUUAUCUUAAAUA